rnacentral:rRNA from 1 species
CAUGUAGGCGGCUUAAUAAGUCGAGCGUGAAAAUGCGGGGCUCAACCCCGUAUGGCGCUGGAAACUGUUAGGCUUGAGUGCAGGAGAGGAAAGGGGAAUUCCCAGUGUAGCGGUGAAAUGCGUAGAUAUUGGGAGGGAACACCAGUGGCGAAGGCGCCUUUCUGGACUGUGUCUGACGCUGAGAUGCGAAAGGCCAGGGUAGCGAAC